AUGAGCCUUAUGUUUAUAUCCUGUCGUAUACCACUCACAUAUUUGGAUGCAGGGUAUUGGACUUGGUUGAUAUAAGCAUUACUAAUCCUUUUAUUCUUAUUGUAUUAUGCUUAUUGAAACCAAGUCACUUUGUAAACCUCAACUCUUUUCAUACUCGAGGUUGUCAUCAAUCACCAAAAAGGGGGAGAUUGAAAGAGCAUCUAGGCCCCUAGUGAUUUCGG
rnacentral:lncRNA from 1 species